rnacentral:rRNA from 1 species
AGCUACGUUCGGAAGGGAUAAGCGCUGAAAGCAUAUAAGCGCGAAACCCACCACAAGAUGAGAUUUCUUUAAAGGGCCGUGGAAGAUUACCACGUCGAUAGGCCAUAGGUGUAAAGGCAGCAAUGUCAUAGCCGAGUGGUACUAAUAGCCCAUAGGCUUAUUGUA